GGAUCAUUACCGAGUUUACAACUCCCAAACCCAAUGUGAACAUACCAAAACGUUGCCUCGGCGGGACCGCCCCGGCGCCCUCGGGCCCGGAACCAGGCGCCCGCCGCAGGACCCCAAACCUCUGUUUUUGUUAAGAUUUCUCCUCUGAGUGGAUUUUACAAAUAAAUCAAAACUUUCAACAACGGAUCUCUUGGCUCUGGCAUCGAUGAAGAACGCAGCGAAAUGCGAUAAGUAAUGUGAAUUGCAGAAUUCAGUGAAUCAUCGAAUCUUUGAACGCACAUUGCGCCCGCCAGCAUUCUGGCGGGCAUGCCUGUCCGAGCGUCAUUUCAACCCUCAGGCUCCCGCGCCUGGCGUUGGGGAUCGGCCCUCACCGGCCGGCCCCGAAAUACAGUGGCGGCCCCGCCCGUGUACCUCUGCGUAGUAGCACAACCUCGCAGCUGGGAGCGGCGGCGGCCACGCCGGAAAACCCCCGACUUCUGAAAGUUGACCUCGGAUCAGGUAGGAAUACCCGCUGAACUUAAGCAUAUCAAUAAGCGGAGGAAAAGAAACCAACAGGGAUUGCCUCAGUAACGGCGAGUGAAGCGGCAACAGCUCAAAUUUGAAAUCUGCCCCCCCGGGCCGAGUUGUAAUUUGCAGAGGAUGCUUUUGGCGAGGUGCCUUCCGAGUUCCCUGGAACGGGACGCCAUAGAGGGUGAGAGCCCCGUCUGGUCGGACACCGAGCCUCUGUAAAGCUCCUUCGACGAGUCGAGUAGUUUGGGAAUGCUGCUCAAAAUGGGAGGUAUAUGUCUUCUAAAGCUAAAUACCGGCCAGAGACCGAUAGCGCACAAGUAGAGUGAUCGAAAGAUGAAAAGCACUUUGAAAAGAGAGUUAAAUAGCACGUGAAAUUGUUGAAAGGGAAGCGUUUAUGACCAGACUUGGCCCGGUUGAUCAUCCAGCGUUCUCGCUGGUGCACUCUGCCGGUCCAGGCCAGCAUCAGUUCGCUUCGGGGGAUAAAGGCUUCGGGAAUGUGGCUCCCUCCGGGGAGUGUUAUAGCCCGUUGUGUAAUACCCUGAGGUGGACUGAGGU
rnacentral:rRNA from 1 species